GUCUUUACAUAUCAAAGACAGUUUUAACUCAACUGCCUAUCUAGUAAAAACACGAAAUCUAUGCUACUCUAAUAUUCAGUAUUCAUAUCAUGAAUUGCUGAAUAUGUAUACUAAGCCUAGGAUGAGCUCGAACAUUACAAAUAUAGGCUAUACUACUUAGGAGUUUGUCACAAUUACAGUAAGUGUUUUCAAAGANNNN
rnacentral:lncRNA from 1 species